GUGCCAGCAGCCGCGGUAAUACCGGCAGCCCGAGUGAUGGCCGAUCUUAUUGGGCCUAAAGCGUCCGUAGCUGGCCGCACAAGUCCAUCGGAAAAUCCACCCGCCCAACGGGUGGGCGUCCGGUGGAAACUGUGUGGCUUGGGACCGGAAGGCGCGACGGGUACGUCCGGGGUAGGAGUGAAAUCCCGUAAUCCUGGACGGACCGCCGAUGGCGAAAGCGCCUCAGGAAGACGGAUCCGACAGUGAGGGACGAAAGCUAGGGUCUCGAACCG
rnacentral:rRNA from 1 species